rnacentral:snoRNA from 1 species
AGGCCGUGAUGGGGACACUUGCGUAAUAGCUCCUUGAAUCUUUCCCAAGUUUCAUAUAAGGAUUCCCCGUCCUCUUGUGAGUACGUGUUAAUUUCAUCCAUUAAUUU